rnacentral:misc_RNA from 1 species
GGAAGUAAAAGUCGUAAACAAGGUCUCCGUUGGUGAACCAGCGGAGGGAUCAUUACCGAGUUUACAACUCCCAAACCCAAUGUGAACCAUACCAAACUGUUGCCUCGGCGGGGUCACGCCCCGGGUGCGUCGCAGCCCCGGAACCAGGCGCCCGCCGGAGGGACCAACCAAACUCUUUCUGUAGUCCCCUCGCGGACGUUAUUUUUACAGCUCUGAGCAAAAAUUCAAAAUGAACCAAAACCUUCAACAACGGAUCUCUUGGUUCUG